rnacentral:rRNA from 1 species
GACGAACGCUGGCGGCGUGCUUAACACAUGCAAGUCGAACGGUGAAGCGCCUUCCUUUUUGGUGGGUGUGGAUGAGUGGCGAACGGGUGAGUAACACGUGAGUAACCUGCCCCCUUCUUCUGGAUAACCGCAUGAAAGUGUGGCUAAUACGGGAUAUUCUGGGUCUGUCGCAUGAUGGGUCUGGGAAAGAUAUUGUUUCGGUGGGGGAUGGGCUCGCGGCCUAUCAGCUUGUUGGUGGGGUGAUGGCCUACCAAGGCGGUGACGGGUAGCCGGCCUGAGAGGGUGGACGGUCACACUGGGGCUGAGCCGCGGCCCAGACUGCUACGGGAGGCAGCAGGGGGGAAUAUUGCACAGUGGGGGGAAGCCUGAUGCAGCGACGCCGCAUGAGGGAUGGAGGCCUUCGGGUUGUGAACCUCUUUCGCCAGUGAAGCAGGCCUGCCUCGUUUGUGGGUGGGUUGACGGUAGCUGGAUAAGAAGCGCCGGCUAACUACGUG